rnacentral:lncRNA from 1 species
AGAAAAAGUGUCAAUUCUGUGCAUGUUGUUGAACCAUUUGUAGAACUUUAAAAACAGUUUCUUCUUCUGUUGAUACGAAUGUGAAAAAACAUGCCGAGUUGUGAAAAGAGUAUAAAGUUUAUUUCCUUCUGAUAUACAUUGGUGUUUAUUUGCUUGUUUAAUUAAUAGUAUGGACAUUUUUUCUUGUUUGAAGGAUAAACCCGUUAAAGUUUACAUUUAGUAUGUUUUAUGAGUUAAAGUUUUCAUUUAGUAUGUUUUAUGAGUUAACGUUUUCAUUAGUAUGUUUUAUGAGUUUAAGUUUGUAUAUUUAGUAUUUUACUUAUCUUGUCAGUUUAUUAUAAGUUUAUGCUGUGUCCGUUUACUGUCAUGAUAUAUAUAUUCCUUGGAUUACCGAACUUUAUAAUUUAUGUUCACCGCCUAUUCAUGGACGUUUACACCGUGUGAAACUCUUCCUACGGUUGGACCGUGUGAUUAUGUGACAUGUUUGUGACAUUUAUUGACAUUUUAUUUGCAUUGAUUAAUUAUAUUAUGUUAUGUUUAUGGUUUUCAACACAUCUAUUUUAAAUACUUUCCCAAAAUAUUAUUUUGUUUAAUAUAUGUCCUAAAGGGGGAGGAAUAUAACAUAUGUUUUUUCUUCAGUACCUUUUCUGUUAAAGUUGUCCUGAUAAAUGACAAGAUUAUGAAUUCCAUUUGAUAUUCAGUCGGAGUCGGCCUUGCACAGGCCUCCAAAUACUUGCCGGAAUGUAUCAUUCCACUCGAGGCUAGAGUUAAAGUGUAGUCACCAAUUCGGUACUGUUCGCUAGAGUUAGCCAACCAAUUUUGGUGCAAAUAUUAGUACUUUAAAACACAACGCGAAGCAAAUUUACAUUUCUUUUAAGGCUAACUCUUGGGACACUUUAAUUUCAUUUUACAUUUGAAACUUUUUUAUUUUUGAACUCCGAUUAAGAAAGUUAUCUGACUCCUGUUUAAUCCGACUUUGUUCAAUGCAGUUAUUGUACAUUUGUGAAUAAAAUAUAGUUUCAUUUGAGUAAUUGUCUGUUGUUCGGCCAUAAUCUGAUAUCAGGUAUCCCAAUAGUCGAAUUGGGGCGAAGCACUGGCCACUACACG